rnacentral:snRNA from 1 species
GCACAGAGAAGAUUAACAUGACCCCUGUGCAAGGAUGACAUGCAAAUUUGUGAAGCAUUCCAUAUUUAA